GGGCAUCUGGUGUAGUUGGUUAUCACGUUCGCUUCGCACUUCUCCGCUGAAUACGACUGCGAAAGGUGAGCGGUUCGAUUCCGCUGUUGUCCA